GACAGGGGGCUCGAGCGUUAAUCGGAAUCACUGGGCUUAAAGGGUGCGUAGGCGGGCCAGUAAGCGUCUUGUGAAAUCCCCCGGCUCAACCGGGGAACUGCGGGGCGAACUGCUGGUCUUGAGGAAGCUAGAGGCUGGUAGAACGAUUGGUGGAGCGGUGGAAUGCGUAGAUAUCAAUCGGAAUGCCGAAAGUGAAGACAGCCGGCUGGGGCUUUCCUGACGCUGAGGCACGAAAGCGUGGGGAGCAAACGGG
rnacentral:rRNA from 1 species